UAAGGAGCAAAGUUAGUUAAAAAAUUAGACUUUUUGCCGAGUUAUUUUUCUUACUCUGAUGACAUCUCUUGGCUUUUUAUCUUUAUUUUUGUACCAGUGGACCUCCCUCUGCCCACUCAGAGAUUUUGUUUUGAUUGACAUCUAUUGUCUUUGUAUUCCCUGAGGCAGUGUUUUCUUCACAUAUUAAUCAUAGUUAAAAGGUCAGAUUUGUUAACAUUUUUCUGAUUGAAGAAAAAUAAGUGUUACCUAGCAAUUCUGACUUGGAUAUUUUCUAGCCUGGGGAAGGGGGCUCACGUGUCACUGUAACUUUAGAUUAAUGGUGAGCAGGACAAAGUCUUGUUCCGUCUGAAGGUAUCAAUACUCUGUAAGUACCUGUCUCUAGGUAAACGGGUGUUAGUAAGUAACAGUUUUGUUAAACUUUAUUCCUGAUCAUUUGGUAAAGCCUAGAGUUCCUUACUUUGUAUUCUGUCCGUAGACUUUAAGAUAUAUUUGUAUAGUUGCCAAGAAUUCUAAAAAUGAGAUUAUGAUGGGCUUUCUCAGCAUCUUUUUCUUCUUAGAAUUGAGUUGCUCUUGAAGUUUGUACUCCUCUGUCAUAAAGAUGGCAGAUUGCAGAUGGACAGUGUAGGUUCUGUCUAAUGCUUUCAAAGUAGAGUUCUGGAUUGCAGUUUCAAAAAAUAUGAUAGGUUUAUUAUUAUAGAAUAAAAGUGCCCUGAAGGAAGAAGAUAGCUAUAGUUGCUGGGCAAAGAAAGCAUGAAGAAGAAAUUUUAAAAGAUAAAAUCAAUUAUUGAGUGCUGUAUGAUGCACGAGGCUAGAAAUGUGAUCAUUGCCUAGCCCAAGCAGAGUCUAAUAUAUGUGGCUAUUACCAAGCGUGUUCUGGCUCUGGGUAUAAUUUUUUCUAAGUAUGGUUGCCAAGCAAUCCAGUAAAUCUAAUGUAAUUUUUCUCACUUUAAUGAUCAGUGUUUGGGAGUCUGGUCCUUCCUAUGCUGAUUAGAAGUACACGGCUUUCUUACAGGAACGCAACCCAGAGUAUACACAGCCGUAAUCAGCUGUGUGUCAUAGUCCCUUCACAUGGUAGCCAUAUAUUUGUCCUGAAUAGUGAUGCUUUCCGUCUAGUUUCCUGUUGCAGACAGUGUUUAUUACUGAAUUGGUGGUCUGUAGCUAGGGAACAGAGUAAAGCUACCUCCCCUGCCUGGGAGUGGACUUGAAGUGUUGGCUUCCACCAGCUUUGUUGCUCAGACUUUAACAUAAGGUACAGAGAAGUGUAAACAAAAAACUACGAUAAAUUAUGAAAGUUUUAUCUUGAGAAAACAUUCAUAAUUGACUCUUUAAUCUGGGUUCCUUAUGAAAUCACCAGUAAAGAGAUUUCAUUUGUCUUGGGUCUUCUGUUGUUAGCAGAGGGCAUGGUCUAGCUAUGGUAGCUUGAAAGCACAAUCUAAGAGGAAUUAACCUUAACAAGGUUGCAUUAGCUGUGUAGUGCUGGUCAAGUGUGCUCUGGGAAAGGGACUGAAUGCAGAAGUCAACUGCCUAUGUUUGUAACUUUGUUUUGCGUGGACCCUCCUGUUAGUAGCCUUUAAUCCUUCAGUGCAGUGGAAGAAUAAGGCCCUGAACAUAUACUUGAUGCUUUUUUGGUGUUUGGGUGUUCUUUUGGUUAUUGGCCUCUGUCCGGUGAGUGCUGUUUGAAGACCUGUUGUUUCUUGAUCCCUUUUCUGGGGUGACUGAUCAGGAAGCGGCCAUUGAGUCUGUCCCAUGCCACCUGUACCCUGUCCCUACUCCCCCCCGCCCCCUCAGUGCCCACCCCGUGUCGGUUUUUCUCUUUCGGUAAAAGAAUCUUUUUUUUUUCCUUGUGAUGCAUCCCUAUGGUGUAUCUGCCCCUGUGGGAAUUUACAAGCAGUGAUUGCAUCUUAACUUUGACCGUUGGGCCAUGAGCAGUUAGGAGGGCUGUGGAUGCCUGUGCUAUUUUAUUUUAGUCUCUCAUGCAGGUAGCUGUCACAUUGGUUUGGGAACAAAGGAAACUUCUCUGUAGUUCUAGGGCAAAAUGGGCAGUAUUCUGCUGGUCUUUGAGAGGUCUCAGUUAACAUUCUUCGGCUGUGGACUUUUUGACAGGAUGUAACAUUUUAGUGUACUUACAAUGAAUUGAAUCUGAGUUUCUAAAACAAUCUAUAGCUGCAAACGAUGGUGUGAGACAUUUUUGGCACAAAUCUUCAUUGUUAGUCAUUUCUUAAGCUUUAAGAUAUUAGCUAGAUCUUUGUAAAAUGAUUAUCUUCGCUUACUAUGCUUUUGUGAUAUUUAGGAAUAGAUUGUGGAUGGCAGGAAAUGGAAGCAAAGGUUCUCAAUUGUGAAUGAAAUUGAGAAAGGUAGUAACUGUUCCUCAGCAGUUUGGUUAGUUAGAUGUGUUAAUAUUGAAUACUUUUGGAACAAAUGAAUAGCCGUACUCUUCAUGUCUUAACACAUACGAUAUGCACUGAUAGAAAAGCACAAAAGACCUAUCUGCAGAGUUUCUUUGUGCAUUUCACUACUGUCCUAGGGCACUGCUGUCUCUGGUGGUCAUUUUAGGUUUGUGUUUGGAUCUUGCACAAGUACCUUUUAAUUUCAAAUGCGAGAGCCCAAAGAACUGAUUCUUUUACUUUUUUGCUAAUUUCAUUUCAAAGUUAGGACAGGAGACAGGUAACCUGACUUCCAUUUUAUAAAUAUUAUAAACUGUUUUUCUUCAGUAAUAAAUAGGGAAGGAAAAUAAAACCAUGAACUAUUUUGCAUAUACAUAUAUUUGUGUAUAUAUAUAUGCACAAUAUACAUAUUUUUCUAAUUGUUUUUGAAGUUUGCUCAUUAGCUUAAUACUUUAUAAAAAAUUCAUCUUUGCUAAAUAUUGAUUCAUACAACUCAGAUUUUUAAUUUUACCUGUUUAAUGAAAAUUUAAAAGUCUUAUUUCAGAAUAAAAUGAUUAAUCAAAUGGAAUUAUGGUUCAUGUGUUAACUAAAGUGACCAUCCAGUUUAGUUUGGAUGGGAAAGGGAAUAAGAAUUGAUUUCUUUAUAUUUCCUGCCUAUUUCCAAAACAAGAUUUGAAGUGUCUUUGAUGCUGUGGAGACUAGGUAAUGUUCAUGGAACAUACGUAGUCUUAAAACAGUUUUCUUGGGGUAGGUUUUAGUCUGAAAAAGGUGAAGAUAUUUAUGCUGAGUCAUGGACUGACAAAAUCUGGUAGAAAAAAAUUGAUGAAAUGGUUUUGCUAAACAUGAUAUUCCACUUGAGAAAACUGAACUUUAGAGUCAAUGUGAUAACUAAAUAGGUUUGUAAACUUUAUUCAGCAAUAAUUUUUGUCUCAUGUAAAAUGAUUUAACAUUUAAUUUUUACCUUAAUUAUAGCAGCAUUUUAUUACUUUACCUUCUAGGGCAUUUUAAUGUUUCGAGAAAGACUGUGUAAGUAAACCAUUGGAGUGAUUCUGUCCAUGGUAGUAAUGAAAUUUUUUUUUUUUUUUUGCGGGCCUCUCACUGUUGUGGCCUCUCCCGUUGCGGAGCGCAGGCUCAGUGGCCAUGGCUCACGGGCCCAGCUACUCCACGGCAUGUGGGAUCUUCCCGGACCGGGGCACGAACCCGUGUCCCCUGCAUCGGCAGGCAGACUCUCAACCACUGCGCCACCAGGGAAGCCCAGUAAUGAAGUUUUUGGUGCUUGUUUUGAUUGUGAAACAUUUAGGAAAAGCAGAAAAGGAACCCCCAAAUCAGCCUUGUUGGUGCACCUUAUAGUUCAAUGAAUCGAUAACCUUUAGAGUGGUAUUACUUAUUGUGUUUUCAGGGCUUAUUACAUUCUGACUGAAUAGUUUUCUCUUUUCCCCUCAGUGUUAAUGAAAGGAUAAGGAUUUUACUUCUAUUGAUUUUUCACUUAUAUUGAGUGUGUCUAUCAUAAGUAAAGGAUUUCCAGUGACUCAUGUUUAUGAAUCAGGAGUUUAAAUGUUUGCAGGAUUACUGCACUUCCAAAGUUGACUAGAAAUGCCAGCUGUAUUCUCCACUGAGAAAAUGAACAAAGUCCUGUGUCUUAACAGUUAUGCUCUUUUUGAAAGCUUUUGAUGUAAAUAACACCAUUUGAGAAAUGAGAAACCUUCUAUCUUAAAUACGGUUUGAAUGAUGGAAGGUUUCCUUUGUAUUUUAAAACAUUUUUACAGUUGAUUGAUCAAAUAUUGGCUUUCUGUAAAAACAUUAUCAUGUUAAAUUUACUCUUUGUAGUGCAAUAUCAAUAAAUUUUGCUGCUUGGGCAGUUUUAAUUACUACCUUAACCUGGCUUCUGCUACUGAUACUUGUUGUAGGUUGCAAGUUGCUCAUAUUUUGGCUGCAUCUCUCUGGACCAGUAAAAAAAAAUGACAAGUAUGAGAUAAAGGCAGCCACCAGGUUGCUAUGUGGGAACAGAAGGAAAUGAGAAUGAAGAUUUAUCCUAAGUAGCACUGAGAUGCACACUGUCCUGCCCACUGGGUAACCUGGUCCAGUAAGUACCACUCCAGACAGAGGACACUCAGCCUCUUCAGUAAGAAUUUGAAAUCAAGUGGUAUUUCAACGCUCACGGCCACUCGUGUAUUGACUUAACCACGAUUCAUUCAGCCUGACUGCUAGAGGCUUGUCACUAACGUAUCGGGAGGGAUUUAAACCAACAAUCCAAACUGGCCACAUCCAAAACAGAUAAGCAGAAAAGGUAGCUGAAUUCCAGAAAUCUGUCAUGGAAAUACCAAUAGUGGAUCUACUUGCUGUUCCAUGGCUGCUUGCAGCAUGGUCAAGUGGCAGUUGCAGGAGGGAGUUCCUCACACACUGCAGACUAAGUCACCUCACCUAGGAUGAGGACAGAGAGGCACCAGCCGUUUCCCUUUAUGCUUUGGGCUGACGGGAUUCAGAGCACACAGGCCAUAAGCUACUAAUGCUGCCAGCCAAACACAGGACACAGGCCUCUGGGGGAAGAGGGCAGGGGCUGAGCCCAGAGCUAGGUAAGUCCCCAUACUCUCUCUGGUCCAAAACAGCACCCCAGAUCCCUUCCAUAUACUGUUAGGUUCUCAAAGUGUAGUCUGAGAACCGACCCCCAGUAUUCCCAAAGCCCUCUCGAGGGAAAUCUGUGAGGUCCUUUAUUUUCUAACUACAGAUGUACACGAAGCUGGGUUUCCUCAGUAUGUUUCAAAACCACAUAUUGCCUGGAGAAGCGGAUGUGAGAAUCUAGCUGUCCUGAAUUAAACCAAAUAUUAAAGAUAUUUGUAAAAUUGUAGAA